UGGGGAGUCGCCAAGCGGUAAGGCAGCGGCCUUUGGAGCCGCCAUUCGGAGGUUCGAAUCCUCCCUCCCCAG
rnacentral:tRNA from 1 species